rnacentral:tRNA from 1 species
CAAAAUGUAGCUUAACCAAAGCCUCUCGCUUACA